rnacentral:rRNA from 1 species
GACGAACGCUGGCGGCGUGCUUAACACAUGCAAGUCGAACGGAAAGGCCCUGCUUUUGUGGGGUGCUCGAGUGGCGAACGGGUGAGUAACACGUGAGUAACCUGCCCUUGACUUUGGGAUAACUUCAGGAAACUGGGGCUAAUACCGGAUAGGAGCUCCUGCUGCAUGGUGGGGGUUGGAAAGUUUCGGCGGUUGGGGAUGGACUCGCGGCUUAUCAGCUUGUUGGUGGGGUAGUGGCUUACCAAGGCUUUGACGGGUAGCCGGCCUGAGAGGGUGACCGGCCACAUGGGGACUGAGAGACGGCCCAGACUCCUACGGGAGGCAGCAGUGGGGAAUAUUGCACAAUGGGCGGACGCCUGAUGCAGCAACGCCGCGUGCGGGAUGACGGCCUUCGGGUUGUAAACCGCUUUCGCCUGUGACGAAGCGUGAGUGACGGUAAUGGGUAAAGAAGCACCGGCUAACUACGUG